rfam:Triticum aestivum genome assembly, contig: Triticum_aestivum_CS42_TGACv1_scaffold_147352_2BS
UUCAAGCUACCUCAGUCCGGAAUUACUUAUCGGAGAAAUGGAUGUAUCUAGACAUAUUUUUGUUACAGAUACAUCCAUUUUUAUCAAUUUUUGCGACAAGUAAUUCCGGGCGGAGGGAGUAUUAG